UUUGCAUUGUAUAAUUUGCAUGUUUCCUGUCCCCCAUAUGUGAUGUCGGGGGGUUCCCCCCUAAUGAUUGCAGCUGUUAUAUAGGAGACAUUGUACAGGUGACAUCUCAGUAGUCUGUGUGUGUCAGUGCAGAGACAUCAAGAUGGCUUCUCAGGGGGUUCUGCUGCCUCUCAUACUGCUUUAUAUUCAGGGAUCCUGGGCAGAUAUUACACUGACACAGACUCCGAAUGAGAUCACUGCAACUCCAGGACAGACAGUCACCAUCUCAUGUAAAUGCAGUGCUGCUAUCAGCACCAGCCACUUACACUGGUACCAGCAGAAAUCAGGACAAAGUCCAACACUGAUUAUCUGGGGUACAAGCAAUCUUCACUCUGGAGUCCCAGCCAGGUUCAGUGGAUCUGGAUCUGGAACAGAUUUCACUCUUAAAAUCAGUGACAUAAAGGAAGAAGAUAUUGCAGUUUAUUCCUGUCAGCAGGUUCAGAGCCUCCCUCUCACACAGUGAUACAGAGCCGUACAAAAACCUCCUUCCUCUAUUUCUUCUACUUACAAUGAACAAUGUAUCUUGUAUAGAAAAGGCUCCAUAGUCUGUGUCUGUCACUCCAACAGACAUCCAAAUGGGUUUUCAGGUAUUCUUCUGUUCUGUCAUUUUGUUUUAUAAUCUGGGUGAGAGUUUUGUAGGGUGAGAAAGUAUAAGGUACAGUAAAAGUUGUAUAACAUGAUCUAGAUUUAUGUAUGAACACUAAGCAUGACUUUCUAUUUUCACACUGUAACGGGAUGUAUGAUCGAACAUAAAA